UACGUAGGGGGCAAGCGUUGUCCGGAUUUAUUGGGCGUAAAGAGCUCGUAGGUGGUUCGGUAAGUCGGAUGUGAAAUCUCCAGGCUCAACCUGGAGGGGUCAUUCGAUACUGCCGUGACUAGAGGUCGGUAGGGGAGUGUGGAAUUCCUGGUGGAGCGGUGAAAUGCGCAGAUAUCAGGAGGAACACCGGUGGCGAAGGCGGUUCUCUGGGCCUUACCUGACGCUGAGGAGCGAAAGCAUGGGGAGCAAACAGG
rnacentral:rRNA from 1 species